GACGAACCGUGCGAACGUUAUUCGGAAUCACUGGGCUUAAAGCGCGUGUAGGCGGCCCGGAACGUCUGUCGCUGAAAUCCCCCGGCUCAACCGGGGAAGGGGCGGAGAUACGGCCGGGCUGGAGGGGGGUAGGGGGAUCGGGAACUUCCGGUGGAGCGGUGAAAUGCGUUGAGAUCGGAAGGAACGCCCGUGGCGAAAGCGCGGUCCUGGACCCCGCCUGACGCUGAGACGCGAAAGCCAGGGGAGCGAACGGG
rnacentral:rRNA from 1 species